GCGGGUGUAGCUCAGUGGUAGAGCACUGGCUUCCCAAGCCAGCAGCGUGGGUUCGAUUCCCAUCACCCGCUCCA
rnacentral:tRNA from 1 species